UUAAACUAGAAGCAGGACGGUAAUUGACUUGUGGAGUCGUGACUACUUGUUUCUGGUUUCACUCUCCUCCCAACUUUCUCUUUCUCUAUGCGCUUCUUCAAUGGAGGACAAGACAAGGCCCUCAAAUACUCCAUCCAAUUACGUUACUCUCCAACAACUCCAAGAACGCUGGAUUAAAGAGCAGCAGCGAAAGCUAGAGAAGAAAGAGGAAGAACAGUCCCACACCGAAAACCUGGAGCUGCAAAAUGAAGAAAAAGACCCUAACCCCCAAGUUCACCCCCUCAAAGAUGCCCAAGAGAAUCGAAGAAAUUCCAAACGCUAUAAUCGGCACAGAAAUCGCAAUUUGACCGAUACUGGUUUCGGUGGUUGUCCCAAGGAAAACCACUUGGUUUCUGCUGUUGUUGAAGGGCACGAAGGUGAGAGUACUGCCAAGGCGACGAAGAGCAACGAUUUGGGAGAUAAGAAAAAGAAGAAGUGGAACAAGAAGCUGCAGAAGAAGGGGAGGGAGAAGCAAGAAGGGGCGGAGGAGGAGGAGAAGGAGAAGACAAUCAAGGACAGAGAAGCUAGGUCACAAGGAGAAUACCAGGAAAAAGUAGUACGCGAGCCACGCGCGCAGCUUGUUAAGAGCGAGGAGAAUACCCUGGUGAUGAGGUAUGAAAAAAGAAGGGAUGCGAGGUUGGAUUAUCGGCAGAAAAAUACUAGUGUGGUUGAGAAGAGUGGUGGAAUAGUGAAAAAUGUGGUGGAAGUUGAGAAUGCGGUGGAGGAGAAUCAGGAGACUCCGAAGAUUGAGCGAAAGCUUGAGGAUCUCUCUAUAAAAAAUGAGAGUAAAAAGGAGAAGGAGAAGACAAUCAAGGACAGAGAAGCUAGGUCACAAGGAGAAUACCAGGAAAAAGUAGUACGCGAGCCACGCGCGCAGCAUGUUAAGAGCGAGGAGAAUACCCUGGUGAUGAGGUAUGAAAAAAGAAGGGAUGCGAGGUUGGAUUAUAGGCGGAAAAAUACUAGUGUGGUUGAGACGAGUGGUGGAAUAGUGAAAAAUGUGGUGGAAGUUGAGAAUGCCGUGGAGGAGAAUCAGGAGACUCCGAAGAUUGAGCGAAAGCUUGAGGAUCUCUCUAUAAAAAAUGAGAGUAACAGUUCGGAGACGCAAAAUAGGGUUGUUAAUCGCAGAAAUAAUGAGCAUAGAGGUUAUACUAGGAUUGAUAAUUGGACUGCUAAUCGCAGGUAUUUUGGGUAUAGGGGCUAUAAUGGUGGUGUGAAUCGCCGUAAUGGGCAGCAUGGAGGAAGUUAUGGGAGGUUUAAUCACUAUGCAGAGCAGAAGGGGAGAAGCGGUGGAAUGGUUUGGGUGAAGAAAGAAGAGGUUGCUGAUGCUGGUGAGGGGUCGGAGAUCAAGGCUUCAGCAACUCAGUGAAGCAGUGAUAUGAUCGAUUAGCAAGAUUAUUUUGAAGCUAGAAGAUUUUGCAUAAGAUAAAGAUAUGUGAUUGUGGUAUGAUAUUGAGAAGCGAAUAAGCAACCAGGAUAUGAAGAUAUGGAUUAAGGGAAUUUUAUAGAGCGGCAUAUCAAAUGUUUCCAAGUUGCAAAGGAUGAUAGGAGAUGCUUUUGAGUUUUCAAUUUGAAUCACAUGCUGGACAGCACUUUGUAUAGUGAAGCAAUUCGAAAAAUAUUUGUAUGUGUUGAUGUUUGGAAAUGUCAUAGGUCACAUAGGUGAGAAGAAGCAAGAAAUGCUGAAACAAGAAGAUAAUUGCUCUCCAUACACGUUGAGUGGAAAACCAAGAGUUUUGCUUGUAAAUAUACUUUCACCAUAAUCGAAAGUCCUGUAGGAAUAACUUGUAUUUCCUGAAUACCACAUUCCUUUAUAAUCUUGAAAUAGAUUAUGGAUUUUGCAGACCA